rnacentral:lncRNA from 1 species
AUCUCUUAAUAAUUUAUUCAAAAUUUUAUGUUUCUCUGCCAUUGAAUCCACAGGCAAAUCUGAGAAUUCACCUUCAUUCAGGUUUAGCCAGUGAUGGAUCACAGCCAUUUCAGCAGAUUCUCUGGUGUUUUUUAUUUGUUUGUUUUUUGUCAUUUUAGGUCUGCAUCCAUGGCAUAUGGAGGUUUCCAGGCUAGGGAUCUAAUCAGAGCUGCAGCUACUGGUCUAUACCAGAGCCACAGCAACGCCAGGUCCGAGCCACGUCUGUGAUCUGCAUCACAGCUCAUGGCAACCCGGAUCCUUAACCCACUGAGUGAGGCCAGGGAUCGAAUCCAAAACCUCAUGGUUCCUAGUUGGAUGUGUUUCCACUGCGCCACUAUGGGCACUCCAUAUUCUCUGGUUUUAAAUGAAAUUGUUCAUGCAACAGCUUCUGCUCCCAAGACUCUCAUAAAUGCCUGUAGCUCUCUGCCUCAUGCUCCCUCAAAGCUCACAAAUGGCAGUUUUAUUGCUUAAAACCAGGUUGUGUUACACAAAGUCAGCUACAACUCAGUAUUUCCUUACUGUGUAUUUUAGGGUUGCUUUAACAAAAUCUGAUUUAUGGACAUGCUAGGUAGAUUAUCUAUUGAGUAGACAAAAGGAGAAGACAAAGGGAGAAAUGCCAUGUAGUGACACAACUGAUACACACAUCUCCACUUCGCUCUUAGCAGCCAGGCUCCUUCCUUGACUCUGGUCAUAGACAAGGGAGGAAGGCCUCAUUCUAACCCCAGGGUUCUCCUAAUUCCUUUGGAUCAGAGCUAGGAUAAUGCUCAUAGCUGACAUGGAGUUUGCCAGCUUCCAUAACCCAUAGUUAAAAUGGUUUCUUUCUAUCCAUGACUUCUUCAUUCAUGCCCGGAGACUUCUUGAGCACAAGCAUUUCUGGAUGUACUAGAGAUGCAGAGAGGCUAAACUGUGGUGUCAGCCCUUAAAGAGCUCACAGUCUAUGCAGGAGACUGGGUGAGUCAAACAAUAGGUACAGUGCGGAAGGGUCAGCACAGUGGGGGGCUUGGGGUGCGACUGACUGUGCUUUAGGGCGUCUUGGAAGGCUUCACUGUGCAGAGAACAUGAACUUGAUCGUCACGGGUGACUCCCAUUUACAAGGAGAAGAAAGGAAGUGAUUCCUUGAUGAAAGAGAAGGGAGUGGAUCUGCAAAGGCAGAGGUGACGCCAGAGCUUCCAACUAAGAGCACUUAGAGGGGCUUAAGUGCAAUAAUCUGUUUGAAGAAGGGUUCACGACACCUGCAGUUUAACAUAUAUAGCAGCCAAGUCGUUUUUUAUAUAACCACCUAAUGAAAUGAGAAAUUAGAGACUUAUCUGGGGCAUAAUAACUAACUAUGGGCUUGGAUAAAAAUGGCAGGAAGGCCAAAGCACCUUGACCACCUUCCAAGGCACCUCUUGGCAUCGAAUCUGCAGGGAAGUGAAAGGACGUGGAAUGCUUGCGAAGGCAGAAGUGUGGUUUGCCUAGAGGAGAGGCUGUCUCACUCUCUGUGUUGGAUGCUGAUAUCGGACAGGUUGGGUAGCAUUCAUGGUGAAGGGCUCUGCGGUGCAUGUCUCAGGAGUUUGGACUUGAUGUUUUGUAGAGCGGUGGUUCCUAGCCUGGAGGUGACCUUGUUCGCAGGGCACAUUCGGCAAUGUCCGCAAACCAUUUUGGUUGUCACAGCUGGGGGUUGGCGAUGGAUUCAUUUCAUUUUGUGGCUGUAACAAAUUACCCCAAACACAAAUUUAUUAUCUUACACUUGCAGAGGUCAGAAGCUUGAGUGGGUCUCCUUGGGCUGAAGUCCAGGUGCUGGCAGGGCUGUGUUCCUUCCGAAGGCUCCAGGGUCAGUUUCCUUUGCUUUCCAGUGUCCCCCUCCAGCCAUGUUGCAUCUCUUGGGCCCUUCAAUCAUUUCUUCCUCAGACUCUCUGAAGAAUGCUUGUGAUUUCAUAGGGCUCACCUGGAUAAUGCAAAGUGCUCUCAUUGUUUUAAGGUCACUUGAUUUGCAACCUUUAAUUCUAUCUGUGGCCUUAAUUCCCCUUCCGCAUGUAACCUAACAUAGUGACAGGUUCCAGAGAUUGGGACAUAGAUCUCUUUGGUGGGACAUUAUUCUGCCUACUUGAAGGUGGUGCCAGUGGCAUCUAGUGGGGGGAGGCCAGGGGUGCUGCUCCACACCCUGCAAUGCGCAGGACAGCUUCCCUAACAGAGAAUUACCUGGCGCUCCAUGUCACGUGUGCCCAGGCUGAGAAACCCUGUGGAGGAAAUGGGGGGAAAUGGGUGAUUUUUAAGCCUGAGUGUGUAACAGGAUUGGAUAUGUGUUUUAGAGAGCUCACUCUAGAGUCUCUGGGGGCCAUGCAUCAGUAGUAGAGUGAAACAAGUGGGCGGACAGAUCCUCAGAGGAGGUGGCCUGGGGAAACCAUGCCGAGCACCCUAUACACAUGUGGGAGUUGGCAGAGAAACGUAAUACUUCUGUAUGUCUUACCUUCCCAUUUUAGCAGAUUGUUUUCUUACACCUAUUGAACUGCUUCCGAUAGGUCGGUCUCCGUAGACCAGUGGUUCUCAGCCAGCGUGUGAGUCUGCAGCCUGGGCAGAUUUGGCAAUACCUAUGGGCAUUUUUGAUUGCCGGAGAGGUGGCUGGGGAGGGGGUGUGUGCUACCAGCACCUGAUGGGUAGAAGCCAGAGCUGCUGCUGAUCAUUCUACAGUGCACAGGACAGACCGCCACAACAAAUCUCUACUCAAAAUUUCACUAGCAUGGAGGUUGAGAAUCCCUAUGUAACGAACUACGUUGUACAAGAAGCUGAAUUCUAGGUUUUGCUUUCCAGUAUCUUUUUCUCUCAUGCUCCUGGCUUUAUUCUUUGCCAUUUCUUCUUCUUUCCUGGCAUAUGUCAACCAAGGCUUUGAAUGGGAUAAAACCACCUUUUCAAAAGGUAUUGAGGAGUUCCCGUCGUGGCGCAGUGGUUAACGAAUCCGACUAGGAACCAUGAGGAUGCGGGAUCGAUCCCUGCCCUCGCUCAGUGGGUGAAGGAUCCGGCGUUGCCGUGAGCUGUAGUGUAGGUCGCAGAUGCGGCUCGGGUCCCGCGUUGCUGUGGCUGUGGUGUAGGCCGGCAGCUACAGCUCCAAUUUGACCCCUACCCUGGGAACCUCCAUAUGCCGAGGAAGUGGCCCAAGAAGUGGCAAAAAGACAAAAAAAAAAAAAAAA